UACGUAGGGUGCGAGCGUUAAUCGGAAUUACUGGGCGUAAAGUGUGCGCAGGCGGCCGAGCAAGUCGAGUGUGAAAGCCCCGAGCUUAACUUGGGAACUGCGCUCGAAACUACUUGGCUAGAGUGUGGCAGAGGGAGGUGGAAUUCCACGUGUAGCAGUGAAAUGCGUAGAUAUGUGGAGGAACACCUGUGGCGAAGGCGCCUUGCUGGCCAAUUUCUGACGCUGAGGCGCGAAAGCGUGGGGAGCAAACAGG
rnacentral:rRNA from 1 species